GCUUGGGUUUCAGUAUAAUUCCAGUUCAGCAUUUCAGAUUAAUAACUAAAGCUGUGGAACUGUUUCAGCAUCGCUAUCACAAUGACACUCCAGAGCCGUCACACAGACAGGCAGUGAGACAGGCAGGUAGUGAGACAGGUAGUGAGACAGUGAGACAGACAGGUAGUGAGACAGUGAGACAGGUAGUGAGACAGUGAGACAGGUAGUGAGACAGCUCUACAGGUGAACAGGAAGUGGAGGGUUUUAAAUACAUUUUGUUAUAAACACACAGCAGAGAGAGAUG